GCGGGCAUCGUAUAACGGCUAUUAUCUCAGCCCUCCAGGCUGAAGAUGCGGGUUCGAUUCCCGCUGCCCUGCU
rnacentral:tRNA from 1 species